AGCGUCUAGAGACAGGAAUGGAUCCAAUUAGUUAUGUGGGUGGUUUUAUAUCUGUAAUACGCAUGCGCAUUACUCCCUCAUGGACAAAAAUCACAAAAUGGCUGCCACCAACUGAGUGUUUUUCAUAUUUCUAGUGCUGUCUUUGUGGUUCCAGGCCUUUUUGCUAGUUGUUUGCAUGAGUUGGAUCACUGAUUAGACUAAUAUAACCUUGCACUAGGUAAUUAUGCACUUAUCAUUUCUUAUGCCCUUGCUAUAAUUGUAUCAGCUCCCAUCAUACAUGUACAUAACUCCAUUCAUUCAUACACUAAGUUAUUUUUUUUUCUUUUUUUUUCUGGUUCCUGGUGAGUUUACCAGGUUACCAUCAGCACUCUAACUCCCUGUGUUUUCAUUCUACUAUUGUGCUGUAGAGUUUAUUAAUAAUAAUAAUAAUAAUAAUAAUAAUAAUAAUUUAUUCUCAGACUGCUAUAAAUUAUGCCUUUUUAUAUACUGUGACUAUUGUAAUCACCUAUAUAUAGAAUGUAUCUUUUAAUUAUUUUUGUGUGAGGAAAUGGGCUUUUUAGUCUUUCCUGGGUUAUCAUUUGUUCCUUCCACUACAAUUACUCAUUUCAGAACUGCAUUUUAUACCUUUCCAGCAAAUUGGAUCACAAGAGGUUGCUCAUGAGUUUUUGCUUACAUGUGUAGUAGGAGACUAGGAGCUCAAAAUGUCACGAAAAGCUAUCAGUAUUGUUCAUGGUGGUGGACGAAACUCUGGAUGCUAUAUUUGGAGAUGUUGAUAACAUUUCCCCAAGACUAGAUAUAUUAUCAACUCUUUAUUUCCCUUGGCACUACUUAAUGUGACACCAGUAUAUUUCCAGGUCA